CAGCCCGCGUUCAUACUUCCUGCAGCUCUGACCGGAGGUUUCUCCCGGCUGGACGGGUGUCAAUGACGCUGGGGCGGCAGGAUGACGAUUUUGACUUCAUUCGUUCUGCACAUCUGUGCUCAUAUCCCGGAAUAGGACUGAGAACAGCAUCUGGGUGACCACCGGGACUGUGGUGCCUCACGGAUGCCGCGUCGCACCAGGAAGGUCCGAGGAGCCAUCCCUGUUGUUGCCACGUGCUGGGGGGCUGUGCGCCCUCCGGUCUCAGUUCAGUAGGUGGGUGCGGGGGCCUCGCUUCCAAGGCGGGCUGCCCUUGCAGGCUGCAGGAGAGUGUUCUGGUGACUGCGUGCAUUGACACUGCCCGGGCACCUCUGUUCAGGUCUGUCCAGAAAUCACCUGGGGCGGCUGCUCCCCUGCACAGAGCCCUGCACCUACCCAGGUGGAUUGGAAGCACCUGUGCACAGCCACUUUACGCUGACAAAGCCCGCAGAGAACUCAGGUGCCGUUCAGCAGAUGAGUGGAUGACCGAACGGGGGCGCAGCCACUCAGUGGAGUGGGCUGCAGGAAUGGGGAGGAGCGAGGUCGUGGGCACGCGGCACGGGUGAAUCUUCAGUGCGUUUUCCCAAGUGAAAGAAGCCGGACCCGACAGCCUUCGUUCUGUACGAUCCCAUCUGCGGGGCGGCCCGGGAAAGGCAGAGCCACGAUGGGGAGUGGACAGGAGCAGCUGCAACUCAGCCUGACCCUGUGGAGCUGGAACCCAGAACCUCAAACGUCCUCAGUGGCUCCAGGUCGGAGCCCAAGAGUUCCCUCCAGAUGCUCCGUCCCACUUGUCCUGGGCUCGUGCGCCAGCGGUCAGCUUCGUGGGCUCCGCGCCUGGAGCCAUCAUCCCAGCGCCAAGCUCCUCUUUCUAGAGUCAGCCUCCUAAGGAGGGGAGGCUGGCACCAGCUGCGGCUGGUGACCCCCGUGAUGUCUGAUGCGGUAUCUCUGCCAGAUGCCCCAAGCCCAGAGAAGACAGCGGGAGAUGGCGGGACAUCGGGGGAGUGGGUCAGGGCGGGGGCUCUCGGGAGCCGCAUGCCUCUAAGGUCAUCCAGUCCGAAUGACCCGACUGGAGGGGGCAAGACUUGCCCGGAUGCGGCAGACUCGUGCUGAACCAGGACUGGAUCCUGGUCUCCUGAGCUGCCUCCUUCUCCACAGUGUCUGCAGAAGGAGGCCCCGGACCCAGCUGACACCAUGAGGGGGUCACCUGUGGGUGGGGCCCAGGGGGCUGGUCUCCCACAGGUGCCUUGGAAGCCAGCUGCAGGUCCUGCAGGAGGCAGUCUGUCCUGGUGGGUGCCGAGCUGGGGGUCAGGACCCAGGGCCGCGGUUCUGCACCCCAGACCUUGGUCUCCAGUCUCGAGCCUGACAGGCUGAUCAGCGGGCCCUGGGGGUGCUCAGUGAGUCCAUCACGGAAGCCAGUGCUCGGGGACCCGGGACAUGUCACCGCACGUGGGUACGAGUGCAGAAGUUGCGUCUGUCUAUCCUGACAUCUGUGUUCCCAGGCCGGGCUAUGGACAGACGGACAGACGCACAGACGCCGGCCUGCCCGAGUGCAUCCUAGGAGGGGGAACGGGGAAACGGAGCCAAAACCCUCUGGGUCUCUCCAGCUGCAUGCCUUCUGGGUUGACCAGUGCACCAGGGAGCCAAGUGCCCCUAAUAUUUGAAUCAGAAACAUGAUUUUCUAAA